AACGAACGCUGGCGGCAGGCCUAACACAUGCAAGUCGAGCGCCCCGCAAGGGGAGCGGCGGACGGGUGAGUAACGCGUGGGAACGUACCCUUUGCUACGGAAUAGCCUCGGGAAACUGGGAGUAAUACCGUAUGUGCUCUUCGGAGGAAAGAUUUAUCGGCAAAGGAUCGGCCCGCGCUGGAUUAGGUAGUUGGUGGGGUAAUGGCCUACCAAGCCGACGAUCCAUAGCUGGUUUGAGAGGAUGAUCAGCCACACUGGGACUGAGACACGGCCCAGACGCCUACGGGAGGCAGCAGUGGGGAAUCUUAGACAAUGGGCGCAAGCCUGAUCUAGCCAUGCCGCGUGAGCGAUGAAGGCCUUAGGGUUGUAAAGCUCUUUCAGUGGGGAAGAUAAUGACUGUACCCACAGAAGAAGCCCCGGCUAACUCCGUGCCAGCAGCCGCAGUAA
rnacentral:rRNA from 1 species